rnacentral:misc_RNA from 1 species
CAUUUAAAGAGGUUGCAAUCUUCGCUCCAAUCUGAAGUGGAAGAAGAGAGACUCUUGAAGCCCAUGAACACUGAUAACUGGAGAGUGAAGCGUGAGAGGCGGAGGCAUUCGUUAUUGCGAGGUCUUUGAAUUGUAUAGAAAUUUUGGCUGGGAAUUGCAAGUUCCCUUUUUGAGAGAUUAAUUGUACUGCGGCUUUCAUGUUCAGUAGUUCUUUUUCAUCAGAUGAAUAAAUGAGGUCAAAUUUUAUACGCCAAAGCUGUUUUGGGUACUUGCUUCACCAAGGUGUAUAACUUGAUAGGUCUAUUUAUUUAUUUAUUUAUUUUUUAAGUUUCUCUUGGAUGUAUUCCUUGCCUUGUGUU